rnacentral:rRNA from 1 species
AGUGAACGCUGGCGGUAGGCCUAACACAUGCAAGUCGAACGGCAGCACAGUAAGAGCUUGCUCUUACGGGUGGCGAGUGGCGGACGGGUGAGGAAUACAUCGGAAUCUACUUUUUCGUGGGGGAUAACGUAGGGAAACUUACGCUAAUACCGCAUACGACCUACGGGUGAAAGCAAGGGAUCUUCGGACCUUGCGCGAUUGAAUGAGCCGAUGUCGGAUUAGCUAGUUGGCGGGGUAAAGGCCCACCAAGGCGACGAUCCGUAGCUGGUCUGAGAGGAUGAUCAGCCACACUGGAACUGGGACACGGUCCAGACUCCUACGGGAGGCAGCAGUGGGGAAUAUUGGACAAUGGGCGCAAGCCUGAUCCAGCCAUACCGCGUGGGUGAAGAAGGCCUUCGGGUUGUAAAGCCCUUUUGUUGGGAAAGAAAAGCAGCAGGUUAAUACCCCGCUGUUCUGACGGUACCCAAAGAAUAAGCACCGGCUAACUUCGUG